GUUGAAUGGCUAACAGGUCCUUUCUAGAAGGCAGCUGCUGGUUAGGGCCCUUCCUAAGAAGGGACUCUCCACCCUCUACAGUGCCCUGGGCCUCCCUGCUGCCAGGCUGAGCCAGGCCAGGUCCCUGAGAAGCAGCCAUCUGGCUUCAAGGCUCUGCCACAGAACCGAAGCAGCCCUGUUGUGAGGGCACAACUGCCGAGGAAAUGCCCUGGGAGCCCAGGAUAAAUGUACACAGAAGAUGGCACGGCCCUCCCUCCUCCAGGACACAAGCCCAGCUCCUUCAACUAAUCCUGGGGUGGAGAAGCCAAGCACAGGCUGCCGAACCUCCCUGCUGGAGUGUGGAUCUGGAGCGUUCCGUGAAGACUAUGUAUGAAAGGUCUGGGCCCCAGAUGAUGGUGCUUCUGGGAGAUGGAGAUAUCUUUAGGGGCAUGGCCUAGUGGGAGGAGGUUAGGUCAUUGAGGGUGUGCCUUUGGGUGGAGUAAUGGGAUUGCCACUUUUUUCUCUCUCUUUCACUUCUGGCCAACAUGAGGUGAGUGGCUUCCUCCACCACAUGGUCCCACCAUGAUGAACUGCCUUACCACAGCCCAAGGCAACACAGCCAAGUGACCAGGGACUAAAGCCUCUGAAAUGUGAGCCAAAAUAAACUUUUCCUCCUUUUAAGCUGAUUCUCUAGAGAUCUUUUAAUACAGUAAUGGAAAUCUAACACAUCCCUUAAAUUUCGUCCAACUGUACAUUGGAAAUAAUGUAGUGUGUAUCUUAUAGGUUUCUGCAAUAAUUCAGUGAAACAGUGGGUGUACAAUAGCCAACAUGUACCCAUCAAUAGUAUGUGCUCAGCAAGUGUAUCUAUUAUUAUUGUUAUUACUGUCUUCUCUGUCUACACACUGUUGCAUCCAUAGGCUGGUUCCAACAUCUGUCAUGGAUAUCAAAAUCCCGGAAGCUCAAGUCUCUCACAGAAGACAGUGCAGUGCUUAUGAAUAACCUAUUUAGCUCCUCCCAUAUACUUUGUGUAAUCUCGAGAUUGUUUAUAACAUUCAAUACAACAUGAAUGCUAUGGAAAGUUAUACUGUUUUUAAAAUUUGUAUUAUUUUUAUUGUUGCAUUGUCUUUAUUUUUUCCAAACAUUCUCAAUUUGUAGUUGAUUAAAUUCACAGAUACAGAAAAUGAGGAUAUACAGGGCUGUUACCUUUGUUUUUCUUUUUCUUUUUCUUUUUUUGGUACCAGGGAUCGAACUUGGGUCCUUGUGUUUGCUCACCAGGUGGCAAAACCACUGAGCUAAAUCCCGGGCCAUGACUGUUUACUUUUUAUUUGUCCAAGUUUCUCCAGAUCUUUCAGGGAUUCUGACGAAAUUCUCUGGAUAUGUUCUCUUGGCAAAAAAUUAUUAUCAUUUGUGCUUAUCUGAGUACAUUUACCUUCCUGUGAGUUAGGUGAAUGUGCUAGCUGCAUUGGCAGGUUCUAAAGCUGCCAUGUAAGAUGGAGGCCAGCAGCAGGUCACACAAGACCUCCCCUGGGGGUGACGUCCAUCCAUUACACAACCCCCUCUGAGAACAGCUGUCCCACUGGCUCCAAGUUACUUCUUAUCCAACCCAAAUGGCUUCACU
rnacentral:lncRNA from 1 species